rnacentral:misc_RNA from 1 species
UUAAGUUCAGCGGGUAACUCCUACCUGAUCCGAGGUCAACCGUGGAAGAUUGGUGGUGACCAACGCCCCGCAGGUCCGUCCCGAGCAGGUGACACAGCCCCAUACGCUCGAGGACCUGGGAACGUCGCCGCUGCCUUUGGGGCAGUCCCCCGCGAGGAGGGGGACCACGCCCAACACACAAGCCGCGCUUGAGGGCAGAA